GUUAAAUGCGCUUGCAGUGGCCGGCCCUGAGUUAGUCCCGGAGGGAAAGGCUCUAAUGUGGUGGAAGAAGCUCUAAGGGGGGGCACGGCCAGAGCUCCAGGGGGAAUGGCUGGGCUGCUGCCCCACAGCCAUGGGCGCCUGUCCCGUACCUGGUUUUGAAAGUCCCUGGUUGCAGGAGCCCGGUGGGGUCCCAUCGCUCCCCACAGGGAACAGCUCUAAAGGGCUCCGCUAAAGCUCCAGGAUUUAUCAGACCAAGACCAAUCUGGGGCCGAUCGCACGUCCCGGGACGUCGCUGAUGCAUUUGUAUGUAUCGGAUGUCUGCCCUAUCAACUUUCGACGGUACUUUCUGUGCCUACCAUGGUGACCAUGGAUAAUGGGUAAUCGGGGUUUGAUUCCCGAGAGGGAGCCUGAGAAAUGGCUACCACAUCCAAGGAAGGCAGCAGGCGUACAAAUUACCCACUCCUGACUCUGGAAGGUAGGGACGAAAAAUAAUAAUCUAGGACUCUUUCAAGGCACUGUAAUUGGAAUGAGUACACUUUAAAUCCUUUAAUGAGUACCCAUUAGAGGGCAAGUCUGGUGCCAGCAGCCGCUGUAAUUCCAGCUCCAAUAUCGUAUAUUAAAGUUGCUGCAGUUAAAAAGCUUGUAGUUGGAUCUUAGGAUCGAGCUGGUGGUCUGCCGCGAGGCAAGCUACCACCUAUCCCAGGCCCUGCCUCUCGGAGCCCCCUUGAUGCUCUUGACUAAGUGUCCGAAGUGUUUACUUUGAAAAAAUGAGUGUUCAAAGCAGGCCGGUCGCCUGAAUACUUCAGCUAGGAAUAAUGGAAUAGGACUCCGGUUCUAUUUUGUUGUUUUUUGGAACUGGGGCCAUGAUUAAGAGGGACGGCCAGAGGCAUUCGUAUUGUGCUGCUACAGGUGAAAUUCUUGGACCGGCGAUAGAUGAAAGCAAAGCGAAAGCAUUACCCAAGAAUGUUCUCAUUAAUUAAGAAUGAAAGUCUGAGGAUCGACGACUAUCCAAUACCAUUGUAGUUUCCACCAUAAACGAUGCCCACUAGCAAUCUGGCGCCGUUAUUCCCAUGACCCGCCGUGCAGCUUCCGGGAAACCAAAGUCUUGGGUUCCGGGUUGGGGGGGUGGGGGAGUAUAUGGUUGCAAAGCUGAAACUUAAAGGAAUUGACGGAAGGGCACCACAGGAAUGGAGCCUGCGGCUUAAUUUGACUCAACACCGGAAACCUCACCCGGCCCGGACACAGAAACGAUAGACAGAUGGAUAGCGCUUACUUGAUUCUGUUGGUGGUGGUGCAUGGCCGUUAUUAGUUGGUGGAGUGAUUUGUCUGGUUAGUUCCGAUAAUGAGCCUGACUCCUCCAUGCUAACUAGUUAAGCAACCCAAACCUGCCUCGUCCCCCCGCGGUCAGCGUUCAACUUCUUAGAGAGACAAGUGGUGUUCAGCCACACGAGAUCGAGCAAUAACAGGUCUGUGAUGCCCUUUGAUGUCCGGGGCUGCAUGCGCGCUACACUGAACGGAUCAGUGUGUCUCUACCCUUUGCCGACAGGUGUGGCUAGCCGCUGAACCCUGUUUGUGCUAGAGGUUGGGGAUUGCAAUUAUUUCCCAUGAACGAGGAAUUCCCAGUAAGUGCGGGUCAUAAGCUUGCGUUAAAUCCCUGCCCUUUGUACGCAUCACCCAUCGCUACUACCAUUGGAUGGUUUAGUGAGGCCCUCGGAUCGGCUACGCUGGGGUCGGCAACGGCCUUGGCGGAGCGGUGAGAAGACGAUCGAAAAUAGAGGAUUUUCCCCAAAGAAGUCACAGAUGGAGUCUUGUAUUUCGUCGCAAAUUACUGCGUCUC
rnacentral:rRNA from 1 species